CGCACGCAAUAAGCCGAUUUUUCAAGUCUCCCAACUCCUGUCCUCUGCAGUCUGUGUUUCACAGAGAGAGAGAGAGAGAGAGAGAGAGAGAGAGAGAGACAGAGAGUGGGAGCGCAAUGGGGGAAACAAAGAUGGUUCACUCACCACUGAUUACUUAUUUCUCGAUGCUCUCUCUUCUCACUCUAUGUCCUCCCUUCGUUAUACUUCUAUGGUAUACGAUGGUUCAUGCUGAUGGGUCUGUUCUUCAAACUUUUAAUUACUUAAGACAGCACGGUUUGCAGGGAUUUAUAGACAUUUGGCCAAAACCAACUGCUGCUGCAUGGAAAAUCAUUGGAUGUUUUGCAGCGUUUGAAGCUGUGCUUCAACUCCUCCUACCUGGAAAAAGGGUUGAAGGACCGAUCUCUCCAGCAGGGAAUCGACCUGUCUACAAGGCAAAUGGUGUGGCAGCAUAUGCAGUAACUUUGGUAACAUAUUUCUGCCUGUGGUGGUUUGGAAUAUUCAACCCUGCUAUAGUUUAUGACCAUCUGGGAGAAAUAUAUUCAGCACUUAUUUUUGGAAGCUUUAUCUUCUGCAUUUUCUUAUACCUCAAAGGUCAUGUGGCACCUUCUUCUUCAGAUUCUGGAUCGUCAGGGAACCUAAUUAUUGAUUUCUAUUGGGGGAUGGAGCUCUAUCCUCGUAUAGGAAAGCAUUUUGAUAUAAAGGUUUUCACCAACUGCAGAUUUGGCAUGAUGUCCUGGGCUGUUCUUGCUGUAACCUACUGUAUCAAACAGUAUGAAGAGCAGGGGAGAGUAGCUGACUCUAUGCUUGUAAAUACUGCAUUGAUGCUUGUUUACGUCACUAAGUUUUUUUGGUGGGAAGCUGGAUACUGGAACACAAUGGAUAUUGCACAUGAUCGAGCUGGCUUUUAUAUUUGUUGGGGAUGCUUGGUUUGGGUUCCUUCUGUUUAUACUUCUCCUGGCAUGUACCUAGUCAAUCAUCCUGUAAAUCUUGGUAUUCAGCUUGCACUUCUUAUUCUUGCUGCUGGUAUUAUGUGCAUAUAUAUUAACUAUGACUGUGACCGGCAAAGGCAAGAAUUCCGCAGAACAAAUGGAAAGUGCUUAGUUUGGGGGAAAGCUCCAUCCAAGAUAGAGGCCGCAUAUCGUACCACAAAUGGGGAAAUGAAAUCUAGCCUUCUUUUGACCUCAGGAUGGUGGGGUUUAUCUCGUCACUUUCACUAUGUACCAGAAAUAUCAGCUUCUUUCUUUUGGACAGUACCAGCUCUUUUCAACCACUUUCUACCAUACUUCUAUGUGGUGUUUCUGACAAUCCUUCUUUUUGACCGGGCCAAGAGAGAUGAUGAUCGUUGUAAAGACAAGUAUGGGAAAUACUGGAAGUUGUACUGCAAUAAGGUUCCUUACAGGAUCAUUCCAGGAAUCUACUGAUGAAUUUUGGAUGGACAAAGCCUGCUCCUUGUGAAUCGUCAAUGGCAUAUUGUGUAUGAGUGGCUGGUUCUGAAUACGGACACCUACCAGUCGAAACUUGGAUUUACGUUUCCAUCGUAGUUUUAAUUCUGUAGCUGAAGCAGACAGUUGUUUUUGUUCUUAGCUGUAUUAAAUAAUGAUUUUAGUAGUUGGUCGGAGCAAGAAAUGACUUUGCUUAAUGACUGGCAUUUUUUGCAUACCAGACACUGUCCUGGUGGCACAAAAUACAAGGAACGGUGGGGGUGCCAUUCAGCAUUGGGAGUCUUGGACACUGUCCUGGAUGUCCCUUUUAAAACACUUGUCUGAAGCACUUUUAAGCCUCUGAUGCUGAUCCGUUGUUAGCCAAUAAUGUGAGGAGUUUUAGGGUCUGUAUGGCAGUGUUCAAAAGAAACACUUGUGGUGUUUUUAUGCUGAUAUGGCCAGUCCGCCCUUGUUUUGGUGAAGCUAUAGUCUGAAUUGAGAUGCCUAAUCGUCUUUCUCCUGUAUCCUCCCCACUGGAGUUUUCCCUUCAUGUUUUCCACUGUUAAAAUGCUUAAGGAAGGCUUUAUUUGUGAAUGUGUA